rnacentral:lncRNA from 1 species
GUAGAAAUCUGUUUCCCCUUUCACACAUAUUCCAUAGUUACUGGUCGCUCGCUGUCUACCAUAGUCAUAUGUAUGAAAAGUAUAGCCUUGUGUGAAAUACAUCUGUGAUGUGGUGACCUUUACAAGUGGAGAUUGAAUUACUUCGUGUAACCACUUAGGAUAAUCUGCAUCGUCGUCAUCAUAAUCAACCUGAAAAAAUAAAGAGAAUGUUAAUGAAAUACAGAUAAUGUAUGAAAAAAACGUUUUAGUUAAUACCUAAUUCCGCAACCACUUAAUGAAGUGUUGAUCUUUCCUUUUGUCUACGUCACUUGUGGAUAUAUCAGGAAAUGUUUCUUCGACUUGAGAAACAAAUAGGCUGUAAAAUCACA